GUUGCGUUUCGACAGCGUCAACCAACGAGUUAAAUGCCAAACUGCAGUAUGAUAUGCGUGUUCCCUCUCAAUGUGUGUGUUCUCUCCCCCACCAAGCGACAAUGCCUUUCCGUGGUAGUCGAUACCAGCCUCCACUGCGUCUGAAUCAUCGUGCAAGGCGAGCUCGGAUGAGGCUAUUUCUCCAAAGGAGGUCGAUCUCAUUUCUUUCCAGCUGGAUCAGUCUUCGGCCAAAAUCGAGAAAAUAGGUGCAGUCGGUCCCAGGCCUGCGAUCCAGGCCCGAGGGAGAGAAGGAGGUCGCUGCUGGGAAUCGGGAUGGAGACCGCAGAGGGUUCCGAUGGUACUAGCGGGCCGAGUGGACUGGCGCCCGGGCUUGGGUGCGCUUCGUUCAACCAGGAUUCCACCUCAUUGGCUGUGGGCACGGGCAUGGGCUACAAGCUGUACUCCCUGACCUCCGUGGAGAAGCUUGACUGCAUCCAUGAGAGUG
ensembl:lncRNA